CCCGCGGUCUCCCCGGCAGAUGGAUUCAAAGUGACCUAGUCCGAAUGCUGGAAGUCAUUAGUGUGGCACGCCGUGCCGGUUAAUUUGUCCUCCUUCACUGAAGGUGAACGGAGUGUGAAAGGAAGGUUUGUUAUCCAGCUUUACUGACAGGACAUUCAGCUAUAAGAUCCUUCAAUUUCUUCAACAUCAACCUCCUUGCUGUUAUGGGGAUUGCCUCUCGCGCAAUCUCAUCUUGGACUGUAUUUUGAUUUUGAUUAUAUGAGAGAUGACUCUUUGCAAGGACUCAUCUCCAUGUGACUCCUGGCCCUGCUUCCAUCGCAGACUUCAGCAACGGCACGGCUGUCCUGGGAUGCUUCUGCACAAACUGUUUGAUUGAUCCCCAGUUUGUAUGGCUUUAAUUCAGCCCAAUGCUGUUUCACACUGGUUUCACCGCAAAAAUUAAAUUUGCCUUCUGUCA